rnacentral:rRNA from 1 species
CAGCAGCCGCGGUAAUACAGAGGGUGCAAGCGUUAAUCGGAAUUACUGGGCGUAAAGCGCGCGUAGGUGGUUCGCCAAGUUGGAUGUGAAAUCCCCGGGCUCAACCUGGGAACUGCAUCCAAAACUGGCGAGCUAGAGUAUGGUAGAGGGUGGUGGAAUUUCCUGUGUAGCGGUGAAAUGCGUAGAUAUAAGAAGGAACAUCAGUGGCGAAGGCGACCACCUGGACUGAUACUGACACUGAGGUGCGAAAGCGUGGGGAGCAAACAGGAUUAGAUACCCCUGUAGUCCCUGUCUCUUAUAC